AACGAACGCUGGCGGCAGGCUUAACACAUGCAAGUCGAGCGCCCCGCAAGGGGAGCGGCAGACGGGUGAGUAACGCGUGGGAACGUGCCCUUUGGUUCGGAACAACUCCGGGAAACUGGAGCUAAUCCCGGAUGAGCCCUUCGGGGGAAAGAUUUAUCGCCAAAGGAUCGGCCCGCGUCUGAUUAGCUAGUUGGUGAGGUAAUGGCUCACCAAGGCGACGAUCAGUAGCUGGUCUGAGAGGAUGAUCAGCCACACUGGGACUGAGACACGGCCCAGACUCCUACGGGAGGCAGCAGUGGGGAAUAUUGGACAAUGGGCACAAGCCUGAUCCAGCCAUGCCGCGUGAGUGAUGAAGGCCUUAGGGUUGUAAAGCUCUUUUGUCCGGGAAGAUAACGACUGUACCGGAAGAAUAAGCCCCGGCUAACUUCGUGCCAGCCGCCGCCGUAACAC
rnacentral:rRNA from 1 species